rnacentral:lncRNA from 1 species
UGAUAAUAUUUGACCUCCGUGACUAUAUCAAUCCAUGUUUCUUUUUGCGAAUCCUUUAUUGUUCAGAAGAACGUGAGAAAGAAGCAGCUGAGAAAGAAAAAGAAUCUGCAGGCCAGCAAGGAGGUGCCGAUUCAUCAGGGGGUGCAGGAUCACAACCAGUGAAAAAAGUAUCUUCCAGAGAGAUGUCUAGUAGCAAAAGUGAAGACAGUCUGGAUGAAGAAUUUGUUGAUCCUCCCUUACCCCCCGAGGAGUCAGUCGAUGACUCUGAUGAGGAGCUGAUUGGCCCACCACUUCCUCCUGGCUACAACAACGAAGAGGAUGAUGAUGAUGAUGAUGACGAUGAUGAUGAAAGUGCCCAGGAAGAAGAUGAGACGUUGCUGCUGUGCUUGUGACGUGAGGAUGAGAGAAGAGAAAAGUCAUUAAAUACAUGGGGAC